rnacentral:rRNA from 1 species
GGCCGCGGGAAUUCGAUUCAGGCCUAACACAUGCAAGUCGAACGCACAGCGAAAGGUGCUUGCACCUUUCAAGUGAGUGGCGAACGGGUGAGUAACACGUGGACAACCUGCCUCAAGGCUGGGGAUAACAUUUGGAAACAGAUGCUAAUACCGAAUAAAACUUAGUGUCGCAUGACACAAAGUUAAAAGGCGCUUCGGCGUCACCUAGAGAUGGAUCCGCGGUGCAUUAGUUAGUUGGUGGGGUAAAGGCCUACCAAGACAAUGAUGCAUAGCCGAGUUGAGAGACUGAUCGGCCACAUUGGGACUGAGACACGGCCCAAACUCCUACGGGAGGCUGCAGUAGGGAAUCUUCCACAAUGGGCGAAAGCCUGAUGGAGAAACGCCGCGUGUGUGAUGAAGGCUUUCGGGUCGUAAAGAAAGGGUGUAUGGGAAGAACAGCUAGAAUAGGAAAUGAUUUUAGUUGAC